rnacentral:rRNA from 1 species
GAUGAACGCUAGCUACAGGCUUAACACAUGCAAGUCGAGGGGUAGCAGGGUAGCAAUACCGCUGACGACCGGCGCACGGGUGAGUAACACGUAUCCAACCUUCCCAUAACUCGGGGAUAGCCUUUCGAAAGAAAGAUUAAUACCCGAUAGUACUUUUCCAAGGCAUCUUGAGAAAGUUAAAGACUUAUUGGUUAUGGAUGGGGAUGCGUUCCAUUAGAUAGUUGGUGAGGUAACGGCUCACCAAGUCUUCGAUGGAUAGGGGUUCUGAGAGGAAGGUCCCCCACAUUGGUACUGAGACACGGACCAAACUCCUACGGGAGGCAGCAGUGAGGAAUAUUGGUCAAUGGGCGAGAGCCUGAACCAGCCAAGUAGCGUGAAGGAUGAAGGUCCUAUGGAUUGUAAACUUCUUUUAUAGUAGAAUAAAGUGAUCCACGUGUGGAUUUUUGUAUGUAUACUAUGAAUAAGGAUCGGCUAACUCCGUGCCAGCAGCCGCGGUAACAC